GCCAGGCACGGCGGUGCACGCCUGUAAUCCCAGGGUCUCAGGAGGCUGAGACAGGAGGAUUGUGAGUUCAAAGCCAGGCUCAGUAACUUAGUGAGGCACUAAGCAACUCAAUGAGAUCCUGUCUCUA
rnacentral:sRNA from 1 species